rnacentral:tRNA from 1 species
UCCGCAGUAGCUCAACGGUAGAGCAGGCGACUGUUAAUCGUCUGGUUGUAGGUUCGAAUCCUACCUGCGGAGCCA